AUCAUUUAAUUAAAAGCAUAAUUUGGUCAAAUUAUGCGUGAUCAAAGUAUUGUCAGAAAAAUGGUUGACUCGUUCAAAGAACAAUGGAAAUCCAAGCUUUUUAAGUUGGCUUCCAAUAGGCCUUCAGUCAAACCACAUCUUACUGACAUGGAAGAAAGCAUUUUGGAUAAUCCAAAAGAGGCAGUCAGAUAAUUUUUUUGGUUUUGUCAUACAGAGGAUGAAUCAAUUGAUGAUGUUAUAAUGAAGUCUUUGACUCCAAAGCUGGUCAGCGUAGGGACAACGGACUGACUGUCUGUCUCUUUUAUUCAUUGCUGCAGAGGGGAAAAUUAUUUCAAAGCUUAAUAUCUCGAUUUUGCCAAUGCAAGCUUUAGAAUUUUAGUGGGUUGUUAUUAUAUAUUUAAUAUUGCAUAUCCCACCUCAGCAGGGAAUGUAUUUCUUUUUUUAAAGGCUGCACUAAUAGAAAGGUCAGCUGAAGCUAAGAAACGAGUUGUUGUGCAUAAGUUCUUUCAAGAAUUAAAGUAAUUCAUAGAGCACCCAUAAAUUUACAGAAAGAUGUAGCUAUACCCAAGAUCCCAUGGCAAAACAGCAAAGAUGUACAAAAUAACUGGAAUCCAUCAGAUUGUGUUUAUGUUUAUUUCGCUGGUGUUAACUAGGCUUAAGUUGUUGGGGAGUCUUUUUAUGAUUCGAAAGCUGUGCCACAUGUGUAUAAAUUGUAUUGUUACCUAAGACCUAAUAAAUGUGCUAUGUCAUAUCCAAUAUGCUUAUGGAACAAAAAAUGUACGUUUAAUCUACCAGUAUUAAAAGAUAUAUC